rnacentral:rRNA from 1 species
UACGUAGGGGGCGAGCGUUAUCCGGAAUUACUGGGCGUAAAGCGCACGCAGGCGGUUCGCCAAGUUUGGAGUGACAGUUGUCGGCUCAACCGACAAAGGACUUCAAAAACUGGUGAACUUGAGGACGAGAGAGGAACAUGGAACUCCAGGUGUAGUAGUGAAAUGCGUAGAUAUCUGGAAGAACACCAAUGGCGAAGGCAAUGUUCUGGCUCGUUUCUGACGCUCAGGUGCGAAAGCCAGGGGGAGCGAACGGG